CCGGAGCCUACAAACUACCACCGCCGAGCAAGGACUAACAGUCACAUGAGGAGAUCAAAUAACAGCAGGAUUUGAAUCGCACCGGAUGGGUUGGUGGCCAGGGCACUGGCCACCUGUUGCUGACACGACGACGACGGAGAACCUGUUUGGAGGCUCCCAUGAUGUAGGAGUAACCUCUCUGAGUUGAGCCCUUGACAAGGAGGGACGAGUCUUGGGUUCAUGAACUACAGGCCCGACGGCGACAGAAUCCAUGCCCAAACCACCCACAUGUAACAGCGAACCAAUGCACGAAGAUCACCUGAACCACCCGAAUCCAUGCUAGGCUAUCAAUAAUCUUGAAUUUUUAAAAUUGUAUUAUGACUACCAAUUUUUACUUUACUUUUGCACAUGAUGAAAAUUGUAUGACCUUGUAGCACAUGACCAAAAGUAUUAGCUCAGGAUUUCUAUGGAUAG
ensembl:lncRNA